GUACUUAGGGGUUCCAAAAGUCACUUUAAAACCAUUUUAACAAGACAAACAUGAACCCAAAAAAUCACCCUUUCGAUUUGGCCGAAUUUCCCAAAAUACAUGGCACCAAAUUUUAGUUCCAAUAUUCAUGCUUAAAUGAAAUACAUCUACAAUAUUUGAGAUGCUAAAUUUUCUAGCAAAAUUUAUAUAUUCAAAAGCAAGAACAAAGCUUGUAACAUUUACAACAUUUAAAUCACAUAUUAUGAAAAUCACAAAACCCAAAAGGAUUCACCAUAAACUAGGCCUAGGCUCUGAUACCACUUGAAGGAAAAAUUUU
rnacentral:lncRNA from 1 species